CUACGGGCUGCUCCAGUGAGGAAUAUUGCACAAUGGGGGGAACCCUGAUGCAGCAACGCCGCGUGGAGGAUGACGCAUUUCGGUGUGUAAACUCCUUUUAUAUGUCAAGAAAAUGACGGUAGCAUAUGAAUAAGCACCGGCUAACUCCGUGCCAGCAGCCGCGGUAAUGCGGAGGGUGCAAGACGUUACUCGGAAUCACUGGGCGUAAAGGACGCGUAGGCGGGUUGGAAAGUCAGGUGUGAAAUCCUACAGCUUAACUGUAGAACUGCACUUGAAACUUCUAAUCUAGAGUAUGGGAGGGGGAGAUGGAAUUAGUGGUGUAGGGGUAAAAUCCGUAGAUAUCACUAGGAAUACCUAAAGCGAAGGCGAUCUCCUGGAACAUUACUGACGCUAAGGCGUGAAAGCGUGGGGAGCAAACAGGAUUAGAUACCCGCGUAGUC
rnacentral:rRNA from 1 species